rnacentral:rRNA from 1 species
GACGUAGGGGGCGAGCGUUGUCCGGAUUUAUUGGGCGUAAAGAGCUCGUAGGCGGUUGCGUAAGUCGGAUGUGAAAACUCAGGGCUCAACCCUGAGACGCCAUCCGAUACUGCGCUGACUUGAAUCCAGUAGGGGAGUGUGGAAUUCCUGGUGUAGCGGUGAAAUGCGCAGAUAUCAGGAGGAACACCCAUGGCGAAGGCAGCACUCUGGGCUGGUAUUGACGCUGAGGAGCGAAAGCAUGGGUAGCGAACAGG